UACAGAGGGUGCAAGCGUUAAUCGGAAUUACUGGGCGUAAAGCGUGCGUAGACGGUUACAUAAGUCGGGUGUGAAGCCCGGGCUCAACCCUGGGAAUUGCAUUCGAGACUGCGUAGCUAGGGUGCGGAAGAGGGAAGCGGAAUUUCCGGUGUAGCGGUGAAAUGACGUAGAUAUCGGAAGGAACACCAGUGGCGAAAGCGGCUCACUGGACCACAACUGACGCUGAUGCGCGAAAGCUAGGGGAGCAACAGG
rnacentral:rRNA from 1 species